AUUGAACGCUGGCGGCAUGCUUUACACAUGCAAGUCGAACGGUAACAGGUUAAGCUGACGAGUGGCGAACGGGUGAGUAAUGCAUCGGAACGUGCCCGAUCGUGGGGGAUAACGCAGCGAAAGCUGCGCUAAUACCGCAUGCGAUCUGAGGAUGAAAGCGGGGGACCGUAAGGCCUCGCGCGAUCGGAGCGGCCGAUGUCAGAUGAGGUAGUUGGUGGGGUAAAGGCCCACCAAGCCAACGAUCUGUAGCUGGUCUGAGAGGACGACCAGCCACACUGGGACUGAGACACGGCCCAGACUCCUACGGGAGGCAGCAGUGGGGAAUUUUGGACAAUGGGCGAAAGCCUGAUCCAGCAAUGCCGCGUGCAGGAAGAAGGCCUUCGGGUUGUAAACUGCUUUUGUACGGAGCGAAAAAGCUCUCUCUAAUACAGGGGGCUCAUGACGGUACCGUAAGAAUAAGCACCGGCUAACUACGUGCCAGCCGCCGCAGUAA
rnacentral:rRNA from 1 species